GAGUGUUUAUACACUGUCUCAUUAUAUCUCAAUAACUCGAUGUGCUCUGUGUUAUUAUUUUAUCAUUUUAUAGAUGAGGAUACAGGUUCACAGAGGAUCGGGAAUAUGCCUGAGUUCAUGGCAGAGCCAACCGGCCUCAUUCCAGAGCCUAAGAAACCCAUCAAUUCUGUGCCCAGCUGCAUAGAACGGAAAGGAAACCCAAAGAAUCUUGAGAGAACUCAUGAAGGAUAUGAAGCAGACAAGUGAGAUGAUCUGAUUAGAUUUUAGAAAGAUCAACUUUUGGCUGGAUAAAGCUGAGACUAAAAGCAGAGUGGCAAACUACUGCAGUGGUCCAUGCAAAAAAAAAAAAAAGUGGUAUCUUGAAGUAUGCAAGCAGCAAAGCGAAGGACAGACACUUGGGGGUAGGUGAGUCAAUGGAGUUAUGGAUAGUCCAAGUCCUGGGCCUCAUCCUACACUGUCAAAAAGCACAUGGCAAUUUUCUGGAUAGAGAAGAAUAAUCAAUAAUAGUGAUCACUAAUGUUUAUUGGGGAUAACCUGGUGGCUCAAACGGUUGAGUCUGCCUGCAAGGCAGGAGGCCCGGGUUCAAUCCCUGGGUCAGGAAGAUCCCCUGCAGAAGGAAAUGGCAACCCACUCCAGUAUUCUUGCCUGGAGAAUCCCAUGGAUGGAGGAGCCUGGUGGGCUACAGUCCAUGGGGUCGUAGAGUCAGACACGCCUGAGUGACUUCACUCAGUGUUUAUCGAAUAUUUAUUACAUUCUAGGCACUGCUCUAAACACUUAACAUACAAGUUUAGUCCUCACAACAACUCUCUGUGCUAAUUAUUAUUAUUUUCUCAUUUUACAGGUGAAGAAAUUGAGCAUUAAGAGAAUCAAUAAGUAGCCCCGCCAUCUCAAUUGGUAAGCAACAGGCAGACACACAAGCACAGGAAUCCUGACUCCAGCCCUGUACUAUUCCACACAGUACUCUAGUGCCUCUUGCUGAAAGACGGUUUCAAACCUUGAGAGCUCCUUAUUGCCAGAGCCGCAUCUCAGCUGCCUGGGCUGGCUGCUAAGAUGUCUAAUCCUGCUUCUGCCUGCAGUGCUUCUGUUCCCCCUGACUCCUAGCUUAUCCCUCAAAGCCAGCUUAGACUGAUAGCCCAUUGUGCUGACUUAAUGCCUGCAUCUGUGCCUUCCCAGAGCCAGCUGACACGUGAUCUCACUUCUGAACUUUCCAUUUCAAAGCCCUCAGUGAGCACCUGCUCCCUGGCGC
rnacentral:lncRNA from 1 species